rnacentral:rRNA from 1 species
CAACUCGCCUACAUGAAGUCGGAAUCGCUAGUAAUCGCGGAUCAGCAUGCCGCGGUGAAUACGUUCCCGGGCCUUGUACACACCGCCCGUCACACCAUGAGAGUUUGUAACACCCAAAGCCGGUGGGGUAACCUUUUGGAGCCAGCCGUCUAAGGUGGGACAGAUGAUUGGGGUGAAGUCGUAACAAGGUACC